AAAAAGAUAAACCUUGUGUUUCAGUGUCCAAAGUUUGAUUGUUCGUCUUAUAUGAAAUUUUUUUAUAAUUAGUAUUUUCAUUGUUGUUAGAUGAUAAAACAUGAUUAAUACUUUAUACGUGACUUGUCUUUUAAAUUUUUUUCAUAUUUUUUUCAAAUAAAACGAACGGUCAAACGUUGGACAUGAAAACUCAGGGUUUGUCUUUUU
rfam:Oryza meridionalis cultivar OR44 (W2112) chromosome 3, whole genome shotgun sequence.